AGCUUAAACGCAGUGUACAACCUGGGACGUCACACCCAGAGCUGCCUCUGGCAAGAGGUGUUGUAGCUGGCUUAAGAGGGUAGAUGGAAGCAUCUGCCUCGGGGUGUCUCGCAGAGGUUCAAAGGAGCAAACUGCAUUCUGAAGAGCUGCGUGCCAUGGCAGGCUUUCCACACAAGUGGCUGAGGACUUGAGAUGAGACCAGAGAGUGACAAGGAGCAGCACGUGCAGGGAUGGUUUCCAAGCGCUGCGGUCGCUUUCUCUUCUGUUCAUCAGGUGCCACAGGCAAGGUGAAGAGGUGCCUGGAGCCCCAUGUCAUCUAGCCUGCAUGUGCCUUGAGGAUGAAGCCUGCUUUCCAGCAGUCCCUAAAGCUAAGUUUGGCCCGAAAUGCCCCGUCUGUGUCUUGGGUGGGGUUGUACCUUGGUGUCUUGUGUGAUAUGUGCAUGGGGAUGGCUUUUAAAUCAGUGCAGCAGAGGAACAGAAUCCAGUAACAACUGGGUGAAGAGGCCCUGGGUUCAUCCUUUUCAGCCUAGUGUGUGCCAGGCAGGGCAGUUCCAGCAUGUGUUCUAUGGUGUAUGUUUGUUUCUGUGUACUAUAGUAUCCAUUUAUCAGGUCUUGUUCCCAUAGUUCUUGGCUUCUGCAGUGCUUGCUGAGCACCGUAUCAUGGGUCUUAAAUGUAUUGUCUGGUUGGCACGGGACUAGUAAUGAAGUGUUUCUUGUCUUUCAUUGGGACUUUAAAAGGCUGAUCUCUCUCCAGAGCUUGAUGUAGUCUACAUUUCUUGAUGGCGGCCAUCACGGCCCUCAGUCUUGGGCUUGUGUAUGUUCAUGUACAGUUUGGGAGCAUGGCUC